rnacentral:rRNA from 1 species
AACGAACGCUGGCGGCAUGCCUAACACAUGCAAGUCGAACGAGACCUUCGGGUCUAGUGGCGCACGGGUGCGUAACGCGUGGGAACCUGCCCUUAGGUUCGGAAUAACUCCCCGAAAGGGGUGCUAAUACCGGAUAAUGUCUCCGGACCAAAGAUUUAUCGCCGUUGGAUGGGCCCGCGUUGGAUUAGCUAGUUGGUAGGGUAAAAGCCUACCAAGGCGACGAUCCAUAGCUGGUCUGAGAGGAUGAUCAGCCACACUGGGACUGAGACACGGCCCAGACUCCUACGGGAGGCAGCAGUGGGGAAUAUUGGACAAUGGGCGAAAGCCUGAUCCGGCAAUGCCGCGUGAGUGAUGAAGGCCUUAGGGUUGUAAAGCUCUUUUACCCGGGAUGAUAAUGACAGUACCGGGAGAAUAAGCUCCGGCUAACUCCGUG